rnacentral:lncRNA from 1 species
CUGUCUGCUGCGCACCCAGCCACGGGGAGCUCCCGAGGGCUGAGCCUUUAUCUGAGUCACCUAAGUCACUGUCAUUCCUACUGAUAAGCAUCCCUCAGUGCCAGGCCCUGUGCUAAGCUUACCUUUAUUUCUCAUUCCUUCUUUCUUCCACGUAAACCAUGUUUAUUGAGCACCUACUAUAUACCAGUGACCAAGGUAACAGCAGGGGACAGAACUGGCAAAAAACAAACAAACAAAAAAACCCUGUUGUCCAGGGAGCUCACAUUCUCUUGGGGGAGAAAAGGAAAAAAAUAAUCAAACAUGUAUGUAUAUAGUGGGUCACAAGAUCUAAAUGCUUUUUUUUUUUUUUUUUGAGAUGGAAUCUUGCUCUGUCACCCAGGCUGGAGUGCAGGUGGUGCUAUCUUGAAUCACUGCAACCUCUGCCUCCCAGGUUCAAGCAAUUCUCCUGCCUCAGCUUCCCAAGUAGCUGGGAUUACAGGUGUGCAUGACCACACCCAGCUAAAUUUGUAUUUUUACUAGAGACGGGGUUUCACCAUGUUGGCCAGCCCGAUGACCUCCGGUUGGUCUUGAUCUCCUUGACCUCAGGUGACCCGCCCACCUUGGCCUCCCAAAGUGCUGGGAUUAUAGGCAUGAACCAUCGCUCCCAGCCCUCAGUGUCUUGAAGGAAUAUAAAGCAGAGAAGGGAGAUGGGAGGUGUAUGGAGGGUAAAGCUGUUUUAUUUUAUUAUUAAUUAUUACUUUUUUAAGAAUUUAUUUAAUUUUUUUUUUACUUUUGAGACAGGAUAUCACUCUGUCAUCCAGGCUGGCGUGCAGUGGUGCGAUCUUGGCUCAUUGCAGCCUCAACUUCCCGGACUCCAGCGAUUUUCCCACCUCAGCCUCCUGAGUAGCUGGACCACAGGUGCACAUCACCACGCCCAGCUAAUUGUAUUUUUGCUAGAGACGGAGUUUCACCAUGUUGGCCAGGCUGGUCUCAAACUCCUGACUUCAAGUGAUCCUCCCACCUCGGCCUCCCAAAGUGCUGGGGUUGCAGGUAUAAGCCACAGUGCCCAGCCUUAGGUUUUAAUUUUUGUUGGGUCCAUAGUAAGUGUAUGUAUUUAUGGGGUACAUGAGAUAUUUUGAUACAGGCAUGGGGUAUCCAUCCCCUCAAGCAUUUAUCCUUUGUGUUACAACCCAAUUACACUCUUUUGGUUAUUUAAAAAUGUACAAUUAUUAUUGAGAAUAGUCAUCUUGUUGUGUGAUCAAAUAGUAGGUCUUAUUCAUUCUUUUUUUUUUAGCCCAUUAACAAAACCGAGGCUGGGUGCAGUGGCUCACGCCUGUAAUCCCAGCAUUUUGGAAGGCCGAGGCGGGCGGAUCAUUUGAGAUCAGGAGUUCGAGACCAGCAUGGCCAACAUGGUGAAACCCUGUCUCUGCUAAAAAUAUAAAAAUUAGUCAGGUGUGGUGGCGGGUGCCUGUAAUCCCAGAUACUCAGGAGGCUGAGGCAGGAGAAUUGCUUGAACCCAGGAGGCAGAGUUUGCAGUGAGCCGGUAUCUCACCCUUACAUUCCAGCAUGGGCGAAAAAGCAAGACUCCGUCUCAAAAAACAAAAACAAAAACAAAAAAAGCCCAUCCCCUGCAGCCUCCCAGCACCCUUCCCAGCCUCUGGUCACCAUCCUUCUAACUCGCCGUGUCCAUGACAUCGUUUUGAUUUUUAGCUCCCACAAAUGAGUGAGACCAUGCGAGGUUUGUCUUUCUGUGCCUGGCUUAUUUCACCGAACCUGAUGACCUCCGGUUAGGUGGAGCUGUUUUAAACAAGAGGGUCAGGGAGGGUGGCACUGAGCAAAGGCCUGAGGGGGGGAUAAAGGGAGUCAUACAGAUCCCUGGGGGAACAGUGUCCCCGGCAGAGGGAACUGCCAGUGCAAAAGUGGGUGGGGAGUCCAAUGCAGAGGCCAGUGUGGCUGCAGCAGAGUGGGCGAGGGGGGUGAUUGGAGGGGGUGAGGACACAGGGGUGACAGGGGCAGAUCGUCUGGGGCCUCGUGGACCUGAGACGGAGCCACAGGAGGGCUCUGAGCAGGGGCGGAUGUGAUCUGAUGCAGGUGUUCACAGGUGCCUUUGGUUGUGUGUGGGGAACAGACUCCCGGGAAAAGGAGGGAGCAGGAAGUCCAAGGAGUCUGUAGGAAAUGAGUGUAGACAGGACCAGGGUGGGGGCUUUGGGGGUGCCAAAAGCGUAGAGAGUCUAGAUCGAGCUGGGCGCAGUGGCUCACACCUGUAAUUCUAGCACUUUGAGAGACCAAGGCAGGUGGAUCACCUGAAGUCAUGAGUUUGAGACCAGCCUGGCCAACACUGUGAAACCCCAUGUUUACUAAAAAUACAAAAAUUAGCCAGGUGUGGUGGCAGGCUCCUGUAAUCCCAGCUACUUGGGAGGCUGAGGCAGGAGAAUUGCUUGAACCCAGGAGGCAGAGUUUGCAGUGAGCCGAGAUCACACCACUGCACUCCAGCCUGGGCGAGAAGAGUGAAACUCCAUGUCAAAAAAAAAAAGAGUCUAGAUCGAUUUCGAAGGCAAGGCAAACAGGAUUUUCCAGAUACUUGGAUGUGGAGCAUGAGAAAAAGAGGAAUCAAUAUCGAUCCCAAGGCUUUCAAUCUCAUUUAACCCCAAGGCAGCCUCACAGAGUAUUAUCAUUCUUGGGUUAUAGAUGAAGAAACAGAGAUUCAGAGAGGGUUGCCGACUUGCCCAUGGUCACACAGGAAUUGGUGGGGCUGGGAUUUGAACCAGUUUCUGUUUGACUCCAGUGUCUGACCUCUGCCCUCUGUGGAGGUUGCCACCUCCCGGCAUGUCCACAGCCUCACCCAGCCCGGGACAGGGCAUGCCAGACCCACACAGGGCACCAGUUCAGUCGGCGGCCACAGCACUCCAUGACCGUCCAGCUUGUGACCUCACCGUCUUGGCCCGGCCCGCCACGGGAUUCUCUUACUGCUCAUCACCUGUGUUGAGUAACCGUGUUUCCCUGCCUGCCUGCGAGCUCCCAGAGGGCAUGACUGUAGCUGAUUCAUCGCUGUCCCUGGCAUUGCCCGGCUGGAGCCUGGCAUGUGGUGGCCUUCAUUAAGGCAAUCAAUAUUUAUUAAGUAUCUAUCUUGUGCUGGGCAAUGCUGGGACGCAGCUCUGGGCCCCAUCCCUCUGAGGUUGAAGUCCAGUGGGGGAGUCAGAGAGACCCAUCCCCAAACGGUGAUGGCCUAGAAUGCGCAGGACUGGAACUAGCGGGGAGCCCAGAGUCCCCAAUCCAGCCCAAGAAGGGGCCUGGGAGGAUUUGGCAGAGGCGUUGAACUCAUGGUCACCACCCUCACAGACUUAGCUUUACGGGUGUAAACAGCCAAUGAACAAGUUAACCAAUCAAGGAAAGAAUUGCAGAUCGAAGUAAAACGGGGGUGGGGCAGGCAGCAACACAGGCUACUUUAGCUGGGGUCAGCAGGGAAGGCCUCUGAGGAGGGGACACCGAGUCUGAGACCUGAGGUUGAGAAGGCGCCAGCCUGGGAUGAGCUGGGGAGAGGGCACACAGGGGGCAGACAGCCAGCGCCCAGGCCCCGCAGUGAGAAAGAGCUGGCUGUGUUCCAGGAACGGCAAGGAGUCCUGCGUGCCUUGGGCCAAGUGAGGGGCGG